UGAGGAACAUGACCUUCGGCGGGGGAUAGCCGGCCCAACGGCCGGGUAAUACCGCGUACGACCUUUUGGGGACAUCCCCGAUUGGUGAAAGCAGCAAUGCGCCGAAAGAGUGCCUCGCGGCCUAUCAGCUAGUUGGUGGGGUAAUGGCUCACCAAGGCGACGACGGGUAGCUGGUCUGAGAGGAUGGCCAGCCACAUUGGAACUGAGGCACGGUCCAGACUCCGUACGGGAGCAGCAGG
rnacentral:rRNA from 1 species